AUACCUUUCUCGGCCUUUUGGCUAAGAUCAAGUGUAGUAUCUGUUCUUAUCAGUUUAAUAUCUGAUAUGUGGGUCAUUGGCCCACACGAUAUUAAAUUACUUUUUUAAUGGGGAGUUGUCACCACAAUAGCUUGCUAUUGGACUUCUCACGCAUCGCCUAUGCGUUGCACUAUUGCAUGGGCUUGGCGCACCCUCC
rnacentral:snRNA from 1 species